GGUCAAGGAAAACCAAAAGCAGCCAGGGGUGGGCCCACGCCACAGGCCAGGCCCCAUGCCAAGUGUGCUGGCCACCAUUCCCUCCCGUCUCCUCACUGUGGACCAGCAUGGAAUAGCGUCACCCUGGUCAGCAGCAGAGGCUCAGAAAGGAAAAGGGAUCUGCCUGAAGCUACUCAGCCAAACAGAGCCAGGGUUUCACCAUGUUGGCUAGGCUGGUCUCAAACUCCUGGCCUCAAGAAAUCGGCCCACCUCAGCCUCCCAAAGUGCUAGGAUUACAGGCGUGAGCCACUGCACCCAGCCUCUAGCACCAUUUAUUAAAAAGAAUAUUCUUUUCCUCAUUGAAUCGACUUGGCACUCUUGUCAAAAUAAAUUGACUAUACAGUAA
ensembl:lncRNA novel transcript